UAGGUAUAACGGUUAUUGAAGGUUCCAAAUUUUGCGUGUUUCAUUCUGCAGGGUAUACUAUACUAUUUGUAAUAGAAAUUCGUUUUACGAUGGUUCAACGUUUUAUUUUUUAUACAUAUAUAGAAUUGAGUUUUGGAUUCUGAAUGUGCCGAACAAGCUAUAGUUUAUCUAUAUAUAUAAUUUAUUAUUACCAUUUUUUUUCAACACUUUAAAUACCCUGGUUAUUUUCACGUAGUACCUUUAAUGAAUUUACGCCCUGUGGUACUUUACUCGAAAUACUUGAAAAUGUUUUCCCGUAAAAAAACUUCUCCCAUUACCUUCUUUUCUCAGAAAAUACUUUUUUCCGGUUUGUAAAAAUGGAACGAUUUUUUUUUUAAUGUUUACUU